rnacentral:rRNA from 1 species
GCUUGUCUCAAAGAUUAAGCCAUGCAUGUUCAAGUAUAGCAAGUGUACAGUGAAACUGCGAAUGGCUCAUUAAAUCAGUUAUAGUUUAUUUGAUGGUCUUACUACUUGGAUAACCGUAGUAAUUCUAGAGCUAAUACAUGCACAAAUUCCCGUCAGGGAUGUAUUUAUUAGAUUGAAACCAAUGCGGGGUAACCCGGUGUUUGGUGAUUCAUAAUAACUUUCGGAUCGCAUUUGCGAUGCAUCAUUCAAGUUUCUGCCCUAUCAGCUUUGGAUGGUAGGGUAUUGGCCUACCAUGGCAUUAACGGGUAACGGAGGAUUUGGGUUCGAUUCCGGAGAGGGAGCCUGAGAAAUGGCUACCACAUCCAAGGAAGGCAGCAGG